rnacentral:rRNA from 1 species
GACGAACGCUGGCGGCGUGCUUAACACAUGCAAGUCGAACGGAAAGGCCUCUUUCGGGGGGUACUCGAGUGGCGAACGGGUGAGUAACACGUGAGUAACCUGCCCUUGACUUUGGGAUAACUUCAGGAAACUGGGGCUAAUACCGGAUAGGAGAUCCUGCUGCAUGGUGGGGGUUGGAAAGUUUCGGCGGUUGGGGAUGGACUCGCGGCUUAUCAGCUUGUUGGUGGGGUAGUGGCUUACCAAGGCUUUGACGGGUAGCCGGCCUGAGAGGGUGACCGGCCACAUUGGGACUGAGAUACGGCCCAGACUCCUACGGGAGGCAGCAGUUGGGAAUAUUGCACAAUGGGUGGAAGCCUGAUGCAGCAACGCCGUGUGCGGGAUGACGGCCUUCGGGUUGUAAACCGCUUUCGCUCAUGACGAAGCUUUGUGUGACGGUAGUGGGUAAAGAAGCACCGGCUAACUACGUG